AGACAGAGCAGUACUCGCCCGGCGCCUCGGGCGGCCGCGGAGGAGUGUACCAGGGAGGCCGUGUUCGAACUGCAACAAGUUCAACAAAAAAGAGGUAUGUCCAACCAGGAUACCAUGCGGGCUGCUACAGGCACUUCUGCAACAUUACAACAAACAAGUGAGCACAGAUGAGAUCAAGGCAAAGAAGGAACAAUAUUUAAAUCAUUGUAUGUCACAUUACUUGUAAAUGUAAAGUUUUUUUUAGGAAAUUCAAUGUAAAGACCUUUCUUGUGAUGCUCUUUUUUGCCAAUUUCCGCCAGAUUCGAUAGAGCAGAUAACUUGUAUCAAAUGGUAUUUGGACAAAUGUAUGAAAUUACCUGCUGAAAAUUUUAAAGAACAUGAUUUAGAUAUAUUAGACUGAAGAAGAAUAGCAGAGGCUGGGACCCUGUCAUCCAUGAAUUUUUAAAUUUUAUUUACAAUGUAUAUUUUAUGUGUGUUUUUGCUAAUACAUACGGGUACAUACAUGUUGUAAUGCUUUUUGAGCAAUUGCUUGAAAGAAUGUUUGUUAUUGAAAAUAUUACUUGUAAAUGUAAAGCCUUUUUUGGAAAUUCAAUGUAAAGACCUUUAUUGCGAUGCUCUAUUUUGCCAAUUUCCGCCAGAUUCGAUAAAGCAGAUAACUUUUACUAAAUGGCAUUUGGACAAAUGUAUGAAAUUACCUGCUGGAAAUGUUAAAGAACAUGAUUUAGAUAAACUGAAGAAGAAUAGCAGAGGCUUCGACCCUGCCAUCCAUGAAUAUAUAUAUUUUUUUUUUAUCUAUAAUGUAUAUUUUAUGUGUAUUUUUGCUAAAACAUACAUACAUGUGAUCGCUUGAAAGAAUGUUUGUUAUUGAAAAUAUUUUAAUGUGAAUUGACAAUGUGUUGUAUAACUGAUGAUGAAUCAUUUCUCUACAUCAACCCAAAGAGCAGUAUCCAUGUAGUCAAGCAGGCUUACAAUUUUAUUGACCAUGUAUUUUGAGAAUGUGAGAUAGUAAUAUGUCAUAUAUUUGAUGUGAAACCAGAUUAUAAUUGGUCAAACAUGCCUUACAAA